rnacentral:rRNA from 1 species
GUCUCCUUGAAUAUGUAUAUAUAAGGAGUCGGACCUGCCCAGUGACUGAAUGUUAAACGGCCGCGGUACCCUAACCGUGCAAAGGUAGCAUAAUCAUUUGCCUUUUAAAUGGAGGCUUGUAUGAAUGGUUUGACGAAAGCUAAGCUGUCUCUUUUAGAAUUUUUAAAAAUUAACUUUUAGGUGAAGAGGCCUAAAUUUAGUUGAGGGACAAGAAGACCCUGUUGAGCUUUAGAUUUACUUUAUUUAAUAUAAAUGUUAGUUUUUAAUAACUAACUUAAAGCUUACUCUGUAAAGGUUGUUAAUAAAGUUAUUCUUUAGUUGGGGCGACUGAGGAACAUAAAAAGCUUCCUUGAAUAAUUAUCUAUUAAUUGGGAAAUAAAUUUUGGUUAAUAAAUUAAAAAUGAUCCGGUUUUAUCGAUUAAGAGAAAAAGUUACCACAGGGAUAACAGCGUAAUCUUUCUGGAGAGAUCUUAUCGAAAGAAGGGUUUGCGACCUCGAUGUUGGACUAAAGUAUCCUAAGGGUGAAGAAGCUCUUGAGGGUUGGUCU